AGCGAACGCUGGCGGCAGGCUUAACACAUGCAAGUCGAGCGGGCAUCCUUGUGGUGUCAGCGGCAGACGGGUGAGUAACGCGUGGGAACGUGCCCUUCGGUUCGGAAUAACUCAGGGAAACUUGAGCUAAUACCGGAUACGUGCGAGAGCACAAAGGUUUAUCUGCCGAAGGAUCGGCCCGCGUCUGAUUAGCUAGUUGGUGAGGUUAUGGCUCACCAAGGCGACGAUCAGUAGCUGGUCUGAGAGGAUGAUCAGCCACACUGGGACUGAGACACGGCCCAGACUCCUACGGGAGGCAGCAGUGGGGAAUAUUGGACAAUGGGGGCAACCCUGAUCCAGCCAUGCCGCGUGAGUGAUGAAGGCCUUAGGGUUGUAAAGCUCUUUUCUUCGGGACGAUAAUGACGGUACCGGAGGAAUAAGCCCCGGCUAACUUCGUG
rnacentral:rRNA from 1 species